UACGGAGGGUGCAAGCGUUAAUCGGAAUUACUGGGCGUAAAGCGUACGUAGGCGGCUUGUUAAGCAAGAUGUGAAAUCCCCGGGCUCAACCUGGGAAUGACAUUUUGAACUGGCAGGCUCGAGUUCUGAAGAGGGUGGUAGAAUUUCCAGUGUAGCGGUGAAAUGCGUAGAUAUUGGAAGGAAUACCGGUGGCGAAGGCGGCCACCUGGUCAGAAACUGACGCUGAGGUACGAAAGCGUGGGGAGCAAACAGG
rnacentral:rRNA from 1 species